UACGUAGGGGGCAAGCGUUGUCCGGAAUUAUUGGGCGUAAAGAGCGCGUAGGCGGUCCGAUAAGUCGGCUGUGAAAGUCAAGGGCUCAACCCUUGAAAGCCGGCCGAUACUGUCGGACUAGAGUCCGGAAGAGGCGAGUGGAAUUCCCGGUGUAGCGGUGAAAUGCGCAGAUAUCAGGAGGAACACCCGUGGCGAAAGCGGCUCUCUGGGACGGUACUGACGCUGAGACGCGAAAGCGUGGGGAGCGAACAGG
rnacentral:rRNA from 1 species